GAGGGUGGCGGGUGACAACCACGGUCGGGGACACGAAGAUCAGGGGACACAAGAUCUGGGAAGGUUCUCGUCCUUGUAGCUGGUCUCUACGGACAUGCCCUCAGGCCUCGCUCGGGCCAGGCGCGCCCUGGGGGGGCGAUGGCGCCGUGUCCCCGGGUGCCACGUGCCUGGCUCCGCAGCCCCAGUGGGGACGCUCAGGGAUCGCAGGGGGCUGGAGAGGGAGCCGCGGCCAGGGCGUGAGGUGAGCCCCAGGACACCCUCCAGGGCCGCGUGACACUGUGGGGUGAGGAGGGGUCAUUAGUGGGAAGGGGACAAAGCCGUGAGUCGCCAUCUAGGAGAGCGGCCAGGUGUCCUCCGACCCCUAGUGGGGCUUCAAGUCCUCUGGGGCCCACGGGAGCGGUUCGUGGUCCCUCUCUCUGCCCCAAGGCUCCUGGUGCUGACAGCGGAUGUGGGGGGACAGUACGGGGUCCUCGUCCUCCAGUCACUGGGCUGCUGGGGUCCCUUGGUGGGGGGGGGGCGAGGGUCACCCCCGCGGCCCAGUCAGCAGCCGGAGAUGGAGGUGACUCACGUGUGGAGGAGAGGCGGGGCGUCAUCGCUGACUCAGGGCCGGCUCCUGCCCCCGUCGUCUCACCUGCCACCGCAGCUGGAGGCGGACACCCCGACAGAAUCCACCUCGAACUGGAUAGCUGAUUAUGUGGCACAAGUGGAGUUUGGAGAGAACACUGUCUUUGGGCGAGUGCAGUUCAAGGAAUGUCCUCCCUUCCUCUGCGUGUCUAAUGAUGUCAGGGAAGUUUCCAGACAGCAUAUUCUCAGAGCUUGAAACAGCUCCGUCCUGAGAUGAUGCCUUCUGUUAAGCGAUCAUGAUGAUAGCUGCCUGCUGUGCUCCAUGCUUACUCCCCUACACCUGCAGAUGCGGAAACUGAGGCUCAGAGGGCACGUGCCAGACAACGGCAGGGACCAGACCUGGAGGGAGAUUGUUGUGUUCAUUGUGUGUCUUGCACUAGUCACCGAUGAAGGGACUACGGCUGCGACAUCUACCCAUCCGAUACUCCGGUGCUCGAGCGCUCCCUAAGUGUCCAGGGAGUUUGCAGGUAAUUUCCAGACAACGUGGGCUUCCAGUUUACGUUUCAUCAAUGAAACGGGAUUGUGGCUUACGCACAGGAGUGUGGCUGCCUUGAAACCUUGAGACCGCAUCUGCCAGAAGCAUUUAUUCAUUUAACAGAAGGGUAUUAAGACUUAACCACGUGGCCAUCACUGGGGAAAUGAUUGUGAGCAAGUAGAGCAAGGCCUUACCUUUAUGUGGGGGUGGCAGCGACUACUUUGGAAAUUCAGAACAAUGCACUGAGCGCUGUGAGUAGGUCCCGAUUUUCUGGUUGGGAGGUCCUCUUGUGGUCUCACCAGAGAUAUUCUUUCACCCUAGUCAAGGAUGCUCCCAGAAU
rnacentral:lncRNA from 12 species